CCUACGGGAGGCAGCAGUGGGGGAUAUUGCACAAUGGGGGAAAGCCUGAUGCAGCGACGCCGCGUGAGCGAUGAAGUAUUUCGGUAUGUAAAGCUCUAUCAGCAGGUAAGAAAAUGCCCUUACCUUACUAAGAAGCCCCUGCUCACUACUUGCCAGACGCCACGGUAUUACGUAGUGGGCAAGCGUGAUCCGUAUUUACUGGGUGUAAAGGGAGCGUAGACGGCAUUGCAAGUCUGAAGUGAAAGGCAAGGGCUCAACCCUGGGACUGAUUGGGCAACUGUGCUGAUGGAGUGUCGGAGAGGAAAGGGGAAUUCCUAGUGUAGCGGUGAAAUGCGUAGAUAUUAGGAGGAACACCAGUGGCGAAGGCGGCUUGCUGGACGAUGACUGACGUUGAGGCUCGAAAGCGUGGGGAGCAAACAGGAUUAGAUACCCCAGUAGUC
rnacentral:rRNA from 1 species